rnacentral:misc_RNA from 1 species
GGCUGGAUCACCUCCUUUCUAAGGGAUGUUCUCAUCGCGUCUUCCGAGCUCGCUCGGAGAUGUCGCUGAGUUCCACCUAGGUCGAUCGAUUGGCACCAAAUCCUCUGUUCAGUUUCCAGGGAAUCGGCAGAUUCCUGGACUGGGCCUAUAGCUCAGUUGGUUAGAGCGCACGCCUGAUAAGCGUGAGGUCGGUAGUUCAAAUCUACCUAGGCCCACCAAGUCAGAGGCGCUCUGACGAACGGGCCGACGGCAAGCGGGGCUGUAGCUCAGUUGGGAGAGCACCUGCUUUGCAAGCAGGGGGUCGUCGGUUCGAUCCCGAUCAGCUCCACCAAGCUCGUCGGGACUGCAGACUUGAAAGACGGGAAUGAAACGCCGGGAUGCGCGGUUGUGAGUGACCCUCACCAGCGCGGAUCCCAGUGAUCCCAAGUUCUUUGACAACUGAAUCGAAUUCGAAUCAUGUAGCGACAAGAUUCGCCGGUUAGUAAGACACUCAAGUUUGGUCAAGCUAGUAAGGGUGCACGGUGGAUGCCUUGGCGCAGAGAGGCGAUGAAGGACGUGGCAAGCUGCGAUAAGCCUCGGGGAGCCGCAAGCAGGCUUUGAUCCGGGGAUUUCCGAAUGGGGAAACCCAACUGGAGUUAUGUCCAGUUAUCCAGGAGUAAAUGCAUAGCUUCUGGAAGCUAACGGGGGGAAGUGAACCAUCUCAGUACCCCCAGGAAGAGAAAGCAAAAGCGAUUCCGUCAGUAGCGGCGAGCGAACGCGGAACAGCCCAAACCGGGAAGGUGCAAUAGCCCACAAGCGUUGCCUUGCCGGUGUUGUGGGGCGCUCUGUGAUCCGAUUGUGGUCGGGUCGGGGAGUUAUCAACUACCUGUCUAGUCAAAGGUGCCUGGAAAGGCCCGCCAAAGAGGGUGAUAGCCCCGUAGGCGAAAGACACGGUAGCUCCCUAUGAGCGUUCCCGAGUACCACGGGGCACGUGAAACCCCGUGGGAAACCGGGUAGACCAUUACCCAAGGCUAAAUACUUCUCUGCGACCGAUAGUGAACCAGUACCGUGAGGGAAAGGUGAAAAGCACCCCUGUUAGGGGAGUGAAAUAGUACCUGAAACCGUGCAUCUACAAGCAGUGGGAGCACUAUGGCCCCGCAAGGGAGUCCAGUGCGACCGCGUGCCUUUUGCAUAAUGAGCCGGCUAGUUAACGUCACUGGCGAGGCGAAGCAUCGUGCUGAGCCGUAGCGAAAGCGAGUCUGAAUGGGGCGAUUCAGUCAGUGGUGUUAGACGCGAAGCGGGAUGAUCUACCCAUGGCCAGGGGGAAGCUGCGGUAACACGCAGUGGACGCCCGAACCGGUGUUUGUUGAAAAAAGCUCGGAUGAGCUGUGGGUAGGGGUGAAAGGCUAAUCAAAUUCCGUGAUAGCUCGUUCUCCCCGAAAUGUCUUUAGGGACAGCCUUGCAGAUUGCAUCGCGGAGGUAGAGCACUGAAUGGACUAGGGGUCUUACCAGACUACCGAAUCCAAUCAAACUCCGAAUGCCGCAGAUGUGUACUGCAGGAGUGAGACUACGAGGGAUAAGCUUCGUGGUCAAAAGGGAAAGAGCCCAGAUCGCCAGCUAAGGUCCCAAAAUCUCAGCUAAGUGGAAAAGGAUGUCGAGGCGCAUUGACAGCCAGGAGGUUGGCUUAGAAGCAGCCACCCUUUAAAGAAAGCGUAAUAGCUCACUGGUCAAGCGGCUCGGUGCCGAUAAUUCAACGGGGCUCAAGCUGAGUACCGAAGCUGCGAAUUGAUGGAAUCCUCCGGGAGUCCAUCAGUGGUAGGGGAGCAUUCUGAACGCAUCGAAGGUCGAUCGAAAGAACGGCUGGAGCGUUCGGAAGAGACUCUGCCGGCACAAGUAGCGAUAAAGCGUGUGAGAACCACGCUGGCCGAAAGUCUAAGGUUUCCUGGGGAAGGUCAAUCCGCCCAGGGUUAGUCGGUCCCUAAGGCGAGGCCGAAAGGCGUAGUCGAUGGGAAACAGGUCAACAUUCCUGUACCACCGCAGGGUCGUUUGGACGUUGGGGUGACGCGGAAGGAUAAGCGGGCCCACCAUUGGAUGUGUGGGUUGAAGCGUGUAGGCGGGAGCGGCAGGUAAAUCCGUUGCUCCAUUCAACGCCGAGGCGUGAUCUCGAUCUCUUCGGAGAACAAAGCUGCCUACUUCAUGCCGCCAAGAAAAACCUCGAGACGGAGACCCUGAGGUGACCGUACCGUAAACCGACACAGGUAGACGGGUAGAGAAUACCAAGGCCCUUGAGUGAUCCCUUGCGAAGGAACUCGGCAAUUUGACACCGUAACUUCGGGAGAAGGUGUGCCGUCAGAAGUGUAGGGGUUCGCCCCCGAAGCUUUUGGCGGUCGCAGAGAAACGGCCCAAGCGACUGUUUAUCAAAAACACAGGACUCUGCUAAGUCGAAAACGACGUAUAGGGUCUGACGCCUGCCCGGUGCCGGAAGGUUAAGAGGAAGGGUUAGCCGCAAGGCGAAGCUCCCAAUCGAAGCCCCGGUAAACGGCGGCCGUAACUAUAACGGUCCUAAGGUAGCGAAAUUCCUUGUCGGGUAAGUUCCGACCUGCACGAAUGGCGUAACGAUUUGGGCACUGUCUCCGCAAGGGGCUCAGCGAAUCUGUAGUACCGGUGAAGAUGCCGGUUACCCGCACGUAGACGGAAAGACCCUGUGCACCUUUACUGCACCCUGGCCCUGAACCACGGUGCGCUAUGUGUAGGAUAGGUGGGAGGCUUUGAAGCCGGGCCGCUAGACUCGGUGGAGCCAACGGUGAAAUACCACCCUUAGCGUUCUGUAGUUCUAACUCAGACCCGUCAUCCGGGUCGAGAACAAGGUCAGGCGGGUAGUUUGACUGGGGCGGUCGCCUCCUAAAGAGUAACGGAGGCGCU